GAUAAUAUAAGAUUAGAAAUAUACAGUAGUCUCACUUAUCCAACGUAAACAGGCCGGCAGGAUAAGUGAAUAUGUUGGAUAAUAAGAAGGGAUUCAGUAAAAGCCAAUUAAACAUCAAAUUAGGUAAUCGUUAUACAAAUUAAGCACCAAAACAUCAUAUUAUACAACAAAUUUGACAGAAAAAGUAGUUCCAUGCGCAGUAAUGCUAUGUAGUAUUUACAGUAGUAUCUCACUUAUCCAACACUCACUUAUCCAACGUUCUGGAUUAUCCAAUGCAUUUUUGUAGUCAAUGCUUUCAAUAUAUCGUGAUAUUUUGGUGCUAAAUUCAUAAAUACAGUAAUUACUAUAUAGCAUUACUGUGUACUGAACUACUUUUUCUGACAAAUUUGUUGUCUAACAUGAUGUUUUGGUUGUUACGGUUGAGCCUUAUGGCUCUGAUUCUGGGAGACGUGGUCGUAAGACUCCUCGGGAGUCAGACACUCUCGAGGAGCGAGAAAGGAAGCGGCUGCGGGACUUAUUUGCAGAACCAUCUGACGAGGACUCCUUUGAGGGUUUUACUGAGAGAAUGGAGGAAGAGAUGGUUAGCUCAGAGGAGGAUGACAUGGAAUGGACUCGUGUGAGAGAGGAUUUGGGUGCCACCGGCAAUGAUAGUAUGGAAGGCGAUUGGGGACCUUCAGGAUUAGACCUGUGGACAAGCUGGAGGGAUGGAACGGGAUCCACAGCUGGGGAUGCUGUGGGGCGUAGUCAAAGGUGUUUCAGCUCUGAUGAGGAGGAUGAUGAUGAGGCACCUGGAAUUAGGGUAACAGCUGAUAGCGAUGAGGAGUUGUAAACUGGCAUAAAAUGGGGUUUAGAAUCUAGGGCUAAUUGCGUUGGGCAAGGUAAUCUGGACGAACGCUUGGGCUCUUGCUGGGAAUUUCCUGAAGACGGGUGUGUUUCGUUUGCUGAAUACCUUGGACCUCCGUCGUCUUCUUGACGGACGCCAAUUGUUUACUCUGGACUGACUGACUGACUGACUGACUACGACCUCGGACUAUCCUUCCUGUGGCUAUCGUUGGAACUGGUGAACUACAAACAUCUGUACUUGGCUGUCGACCUUCGGACCGGAUUGGGACCUCGCUGACCGCUGCUGCCCCUGAUUGAUGUGUUUAAACCCGGAGAUUGUUUGCUGCGUGGAGGAGUAACUUCUUAGUUACUCAAUAUCAGCUUUUGGUAGCAGAGAAGUAUCUGCUGCCAGUUAUUUGUGUUUCUUUGAACCUUUGUGCACCAGCUUUUGUUUGUUUAAAGUCCCAGGCUGAAGUAAGCAUUUUUAGUUUAACCCGGAUUAAACUCCAGUUUAAUCCGGUUUAUCUUUUGAACGUUUUCUAGUAUCUUUUCACUUCAAAGGCCAAUGUUUGCCUAGCCCUUGUCUUUUACGGGCGUUUUUGGUUCUGUAACUCCAAUAAACUUUGUUGAAUCUUA